GGAAGGAGAAGUCGUAACAAGGUUUCCGUAGGUGAMCCUGCGAAGGAUCAUUG
rnacentral:rRNA from 1 species